rnacentral:miRNA from 1 species
AUAUCUAUCAUCUAGGAAUCAUUUUAAAAUGCAGAUUCUGAUUCAGUAGAUUUGGAGUGGGCCUCAGGAUUCUGCAUUCCAACAAGCUUCUAGGAGAGGCUGUG